AUGUACGCCGUCGACGAGCGGGAGACACACAGGGCCUCUCCUUUUUACCGGGCCGUGGUGCACGCCGUUGACGGGAGGGCAGACGGCCAGACGGCGACCGGCAGUUGCGCCCGGAAAUCACGUUGCCACGGCUACUUUCUCCCCAAACCCCCAACCACCUUCCCCCUUUCAUCCCAUCUCCGUUUCACGGUGCCAUCCGUCGUACACUACCACCACAGACAAGCGCACAUUCCCGUCCAGCCACUGCUUGAUCAAGGACUGCUGCUCGGUACGAGCAAGAUGGUGCUGGCGGAGAGCAUUGGCAAGUACAGGGUCGGCCGGACCAUCGGCGAGGGCGCCUUCGCCAAGGUCCGGCUCGCCGUCGACGCCGAGACCGGCGGCUGCGUCGCCGUCAAGGUCAUCGACAGGAGCACGGUGCUCAGGAACAACCUCAUGUACCAGGUGAAGAGAGAGAUCAGCGCGAUGAGGCUUCUCAACCACCCCAACAUAGUCAAGAUACACGAGGUGAUCGCGACGAAGACGAAGAUAUGUCUGGUGAUGGAGUAUGUCCCGGGAGGGCAGCUCUCCGACAAGCUAGUAAGACAGACAUCUUCAUCAAGCAACAGUUCUUGGUUAUUGUCCAGGUGUUACCUCAAGAGACUGGACGAGAGGGAAGCGAAGAAGUACUUCUACCAGCUGAUUGAUGCUGUGGACUAUUGCCACCGGAGAGGCGUCUUUCACAGGGAUCUCAAGCCUGAAAACUUGUUGCUAGAUAAUCAGGGCAAUCUCAAGGUAUCUGAUUUUGGCCUCAGCGUGCUACGGAAGCUUCGCGACUUAUGGGGCUGGACGGAAGCCUGUUUUUCCACCAGUGUAUCCACAUCUUGCGGCUCUCCGUGCUACGUCGCUCCUGAGGUGAUUCAGCACAAGACUUACGAUGGGGCGGCCGCGGACAUCUGGUCAUGCGGUGUGAUCCUGUUUGAACUCCUUGCUGGUUAUCUGCCAUUCCAGGACUGCAGCUUGAUACACUUGUACAGAAGGAUAUCUCGGGCACAGUAUGCAUUACCGCAAUGGAUCACGCUGCCUCAGAAGAAGAUCAUAUUGAGGAUACUGGAUCCGUCUCCUAUAACGAGAGCGAAGGUAAAUGAUAUCUUCGAUGACGAGUGGUUCCAAGAGGGCUACAAUCCAUCAGUAAGGAGAACUGGGAGUGAUGAUGGUGAUGAUUGUGUUGAUCUUGAUGAGGCUGGCACAGAUAGUGAUGGCAGUCACAGCACAGAGGUAAGAGAAGCCGGGGGAGCGAAUCCAGAGCCUGAGCAGUUCAUCAACACGUUCCGGUUGAUAGCGACCUGCAGAGAUCUCGACUUGUCAGGACUCUUCCAGGAGCAGAAAACAAAGCUCGGCUCGCCGCAUUCGGUGCAGGAAACACUGGGGAUAAUCACAGCUGCAGCCAGGGAUGUGAGCUUGUCAGCGAGGAGAAUGGGCAGCUCCAUGGUGAUCCAGGUAACACCAGCACACUGCGUCGUCGAAGUGUCCAAGUCCAGCGGUGAUCUGAGAGCAUACAAAGAGGUAUGUCAACAUGUCAAUAUGAAUACUGUUUGUUCCAUUCCAUUCUGA
rnacentral:rRNA from 1 species